UACGUAGGGGGCAAGCGUUGUCCGGAUUUAUUGGGCGUAAAGGGCGCGUAGGCGGUCGUGACAAGUCACUUGUGAAAUCUCCGGGCUUAACUCGGAACGGUCAAGUGAUACUGUCGGACUAGAGUACAGAAGGGGCAACUGGAAUUCUCGGUGUAGCGGUGAAAUGCGUAGAUAUCGAGAGGAACACCUGCGGCGAAGGCGGGUUGCUGGGCUGAUACUGACGCUGAGGCGCGAAAGCCAGGGGAGCGAACGGGG
rnacentral:rRNA from 1 species